GGCUAUGAAAAUGUAUGAAGAACGAAUAAAACAUCCGCAUUCUUUGGACUCAGAGAAAUCACCAGCUUUAAUAGAUGCUAAUAGGGUGGCCCUCUUCAAAUCAGCAACCAGUCAGCACGCCCAGCUGUUACAGGGUAAUUCUGGGAACAUGUCUGCAGCUUUGCAGCAGAUCCAGGCACAAACCUCAUUGACAACUGACAUCAAGGGUGAAGUUAACUUGGGCCCAACUCAGAAAAGUUUGCUGAUGGAACUCUCAUCAAUCAAUGGACAAAUUUUACAAUCAAAGUCCGGACUAAGUGGUGCAGGUAAUUAUAGGAAGAGAUUGUCUUAUGAAAGUUUUUGACCAUUUUCAUGAGUAGAGUACACUUUAAUUUUGCCCAUAAAAUUUUAUAUACAACAUGGAUCAAACAAGGGUCCACAAUUAUUGUUUCUGUUAUUAUUCUCGUACUGAGACAUAGUAGCUUAAUUGAAUAAAUGUUUAAUAAGAGAGAAUUCAGUAGAAAUUUUGCCAUUUAGGAUUUCUGUCUCAACUGGUCCAAAUUUAGGUAGUUUAACCUAGACAAUGUUAAUAUCUCAAAUCUGAGUUUUUAAUACUUGAACAGACCUAGCUGGUCUCUUCUGAUGUUAUUAUCUAUAUGGAUCUGUGUGGCUGUGUAUUGGAUUCCAUGACAUAUACCACGGUACAAACCCAUUAAGGAUGGAUGCCACAGUGAAAAUCAUCAUAGAUUUUAAUCAUAGUGAUUAGGUUCAAAUACUGCCAAAGGCAAUUAUGAAAUAUGGUGAUUCUUAUAGAUUGAGAAAUAGAUAGAGCUGUCAAGUACUGACACAUUAUGAUGGAUAUGGGCACUCAUGAUGGGUCCCUAACCCAAGCCCAUAAAAUACAAGACAAGGCCCAUGAUGGGUCUGUAUACUAAGCUUAUGAACUUAGCCUUAUCUAUGAGCAGCUGUUGAAACAAAUUGAAAACUGCAAAUGGAGCAGUUUUUGACAACUAAGAGACAUGCUAUAGUGGUACAUAUAUAUUUGAUCAGAAACUUUAAAGUUAAGUGAAGUGCAUGAUAUGGAGAAGGCUAGUGUGAGAACAAAGUGUUAUUGUUGCUUGGAGCAAAACUGAAGCAGGAGCAAGUAAGCAAUCAUAAGGCUCUUGGUGCAUUAUUGUGCUGUAAUCUUUCUCAAAUUAUUUCUGUGGGAACCACUGCAAGUCCAGGUAACAUUGAGACUGUGAUUUUUAUGCAUGGUUCAAGUUAUUGUGACAAUGUACAGACCAUGUGAUGCAAAGUUGGUUUUAUGAGUUUAAUAUGCAUGAAUGAUAAUAUGCACAUGUAUACUUUAAUCUUGGCUUGUAUAUAUGUCUAACAUUGGUAUCAGAGCCUUGCUACUUGUUAUUCUUGGUCUAUAUAUGAUUAUUAACGUGAUAAAUAUUUGUUAGAAUGAUAGAAAUGGUGUUUGGCUUUUUCUGUUACAAUUCUGGAUAUAUGUAAAAUAUGUUCGUCAUGCUUAAUUUGGACCUUCAAAACUUGUUUUGUAUUUAUCUAUUGGAUGUGUUUUUUAUACCAUAUGAAACUAGAGAUUCCAAUCUUUUUAUAGAUAUAUGGUAUGCCUUUUUGGAUAAAAACCAAGAAAGUUAUAGGCUUGUAAAAUCA
rnacentral:misc_RNA from 1 species